AUACGUAUGUCGCAAGCGUUAUCCGGAAUUAUUGGGCGUAAAGCGAGUCUAGGCGGCUUGUUAAGUCAGAUGUGAAAAUGCGGGGCUCAACUCCGUAUUGCGUUUGAAACUGGCAGGCUAGAAUACUGGAGAGGUGGGCGGAACUACAAGUGUAGAGGUGAAAUUCGUAGAUAUUUGUAGGAAUGCCGAUAGUGAAGACAGCUCACUGGACAGAUACUGACGCUAAAGCUCGAAAGCGUGGGGAGCGAACAGGAUUAGAAACCCUAGUAGUCC
rnacentral:rRNA from 1 species